CCUACGGGGGGCUGCAGUGAGGAAUAUUGGUCAAUGGACGAGAGUCUGAACCAGCCAAGUAGCGUGAAGGAUGACUGCCCUAUGGGUUGUAAACUUCUUUUAUACAGGAAUAAAACGAGGUACGUGUGCCUUUUUGCAUGUACCUUAUGAAUAAGGAUCGGCUAACUCCGUGCCAGCAGCCGCGGUAAUACGGAGGAUCCGAGCGUUAUCCGGAUUUAUUGGGUUUAAAGGGAGCGUAGAUGGUUUGUUAAGUCAGAUGUGAAAGUUUGCGGCUCAACCGUAAAAUUGCAAUUGAUACUGUCAGUCUUGAGUGCAGUUGAGGUAGGCGGAAUUCGUGGUGUAGCGGUGAAAUGCUUAGAUAUCACGAAGAACCCCGAUUGCGAAGGCAGCUUACUAAGCUGUGACUGACAUUGAUGCUCGAAAGUGUGGGUAGCAAACAGGAUUAGAUACCCUGGUAGUC
rnacentral:rRNA from 1 species